rnacentral:rRNA from 1 species
UACAGAGGGGGCAAGCGUUGUUCGGAAUUACUGGGCGUAAAGGGCGCGUAGGCGGCCUGCUAAGUCGAACGUGAAAUCCCCGGGCUCAACCCGGGAACUGCGUCCGAUACUGGCGGGCUUGAAUCCGGGAGAGGGAUGUGGAAUUCCAGGUGUAGCGGUGAAAUGCGUAGAUAUCUGGAGGAACACCGGUGGCGAAGGCGGCAUCCUGGACCGGUAUUGACACUGAGGCGCGAAAGCCAGGGGAGCAAACGGG